rnacentral:rRNA from 1 species
GGCGGACGGGUGAGUAAUGCUUGGGAAUCUGCCCAAUAGCGGGGGGAUAACUCGAGGAAACUCGAGCUAAUACCGCAUACGCCCUACGGGGGAAAGCGGGGGACUCUUCGGAGCCUCGCACUAUUGGAUGAGCCCAGGUCGGAUUAGCUUGUUGGUAGGGUAAUGGCCUACCAAGGCGACGAUCCGUAGCUGGUCUGAGAGGACGAUCAGCCACACCGGAACUGAGACACGGUCCGG